AUUUAUAUAGUUUAAUUAAAACAUUACAUUUUCACUGUAAAAAUAAAAAAACUUUUUUUUUAUAAAUA
rnacentral:tRNA from 1 species